CAGCAUAAAUGGUGCGCUGCCACUUUAAGGCCAAUUUCAGCGGAUGCAUAUAAGCAAGCCUUCACCUGUCAUGAGGCUGCUUGCGUUGUGACGUCAACUGAAUCUGCUUCCUUUGUUUGCACUGUUCUGGGUAAGCGUGGCUGUUUUAUGGUUUGUCGGCUUUAAUAAUGGCUAUUAAUGCUAAUUGGUUUAUCUGCUUAGCCUCCUUUGCUGCACUUCCAGUAUCUGGACCGAUCUGUCCAUUCAUUUGUUUGCUGACAGGAAGUUGCACUGCAUCUAGGCGGAAUUGGGGAUCUGAUUAUUUGGCAGUGCAGUCAUUAAUCAGGUCACAGGUAAGCAGCUGCUGCAAGUUAGGUUUUUGUUAGCAGUUGUAUUAAUAAUUUGCUCUAUUCUUUUUAGCCUUCUGACUCAUCAGCAUUGUACCUGGAGUGACACUCGCUGCUGUUUUGCCUACUUAGAAAUUGUUUUAAAAUACUAAUCUGCACUUUCCCUGGGGAUAAAGUGCAACCUUGUAGAGCUAUUGUAUCACUGUUUUACUUGUAUUGUUUCGUUUUUUUUUUUGUCUUUCUUUUAGGGACUGAGGCUUCUGUGGUGGCGGUGGUGACCCCUGGUGGCGGUGUCUUGUCUUGUGUGUUUUGUUGGAGCACCUUUUUCUUUGUUUGCUGUGUUUUUGUAGUGUCCAGGGUGGUCCCUUUUUCUGCACUGGAUGUUGCCCCCUUCCCUCACUCCCUCCCCCAUUGGUAAGCCUCAGUUUCCUUUGAAAUUUAAACAUUUUAUUAUAAUAAAUCUUGUCAAAUGCAUUCACUGUUUUAACCAUUCAAUUUCAGAUUAUUGGAAAUU